UACGUAGGGUGCAAGCGUUGUCCGGAAUUAUUGGGCGUAAAGAGCUCGUAGGCGGUGUGUCGCGUCGGCCGUGAAAACCUGCAGCUUAACUGUGGGCGUGCGGUCGAUACGGGCAUCACUGGAGUUCGGCAGGGGAGACUGGAAUUCCUGGUGUAGCGGUGAAAUGCGCAGAUAUCAGGAGGAACACCGGUGGCGAAGGCGGCCCCCUGGACCGGUACUGACGCUGAGGCGCGAAAGCGUGGGUAGCAAACGGG
rnacentral:rRNA from 1 species